GGCCUCAUUUUCGAACAUUUUCUGAAGUUUCUUCUGAAAUGUUUCUUACGGGCUUCGGAAAAACAACGUAAGAAAAAGACCUCCGCAAAAUUCAUGAACGCUUGAAAAUUUACAUUUACAUUUAGUCAUUUAGCAGACGCUUUUGUCCAAAGCGACGUAAAAGGGAGAGAACAGUCAAGCUAAGAGCAAUAAAAAGCAUGGUGUAACAAUAAAUACUACUUUACAUGAGAAUUAGAAAACAACGACCUAGAAAAAAGGAAAAAGAAGUGCAGGAAUGUAAUUGCUGAAGUGCAAGUUAAGCGCUAGUCAGGUGCCAGUUAGGAAGGGAGGUGCUCUCUGAAGAGUUGGGUCUUCAAAAGCUUCUUGAAGGUAGAGAGGGACGCCCCUGCUCUGGUAGUACUAGGCAGUUCGUUCCACCAAUGUGGAACUACAAAUGAGAAUAGUCUGGAUUGCCGUGCUUGCACAGACGGCAGUGCCAAACGACGCUCACUAGACGAGCGCAGCGUCCUGGGUGUAACAUUUGCCCUUACAAGAGCAUUUAGGUCUUUUCAACAUAUUCAUUCACUUAACCACUCUAGACGGAAAGAACGAGUCUCUACGCGUGUUUAGUGCGUUUAACAACGAUAGAAAACAGUGUUUUCGCUCCGUCUUUACUGAAUACUGAACAAUGAAAUAAAUCGCAGUUCUUAUACAUUCCAUCAAUGCGCGAGCAGACUACGUCGUAGCUCACUACGACGCGCACUUCAAAGCAACUCUUAUGUCCCAUGCAUAUCUGGUUAUUCUAAGCAAUGCAUGUACACUAAACAUAUAUUAAACUGAAAUGCAAAACUAUAAAAUACAAUUAUGCAAUCAUUAUAAUGAGCAGUCACUAAAUAUGAAUCUAAACAACAUAAUAUCUUAAUCUGAGUCUAAAUUACAAUGUGGAAAAUGGCACUAACACAGAUGUAGAACAUAACGUAACGUGUUUACCUCCGUUUAUUAGCGUUCAAACAUUGUUUUCUCAUUAUAUCGUUGUAUUUGUCAACCUGUGUCUGUAAUUGUAACACAACAUUCAAAUACACUUCACCUGCAAUGUUGUCACUUUUUAAAACUCUUUAUCUAUACAGGCGUAUUUGUGCCAAGUGUGAGCAAAUGCCUACAGAGCCUGAGAAUGGAUGCUGCAGGGAGAUGCCACAGGUAACAAGAAGACUACUGCAGCUUCCAAACCAAACAACGUGCAUCAUCCGGGACUUUUAGCUGUGUGAUUGAAUGUGUUCUCACUACAGAAUGCAUUCAACAUCUAUAGAGCAGACUAUGGGCCUUAUGUCUAAGGGGAAUAUAGCAACGUUACAGGUAUUUGGUGUACAGAAGCUUUGUUAGCUGGUCUUGGGGCUUUCUGGGACGGAGAAUCUGGGUGGUCCUGCUCUCCUGCUCCAGAUGCUGCUUUGGAGGAUCUGUCUGACAGGCCACAUGAUGUAGCCUAGGACACUGUUC
ensembl:lncRNA